ensembl:lncRNA
UUUUUUUUUUCAGUUUUGUUGCUUUAAAUGUGAUGUGAUUUUCUGUGUAUUUUUCUUUGCUGUUUGGUUCUGCAAUUUUUGUUAAUUUUUUCUCAUUUUUAAUUUCUAUGUUGUGUGUUUUUUCUCAUGUGUUUUUUCACUGAUCUUUUCUGUGGGGCACUCUGUGGGCCUUUGGUUUGUAGUGGGCCUUUGGUUUGUAGUGGGCCUUUGGUUUGUAGUGGGCCUUUGGUUUGUAGUGGGCCUUUGGUUUUGUUGCUUUAAUGUGGUUCUUUUGAUUAGCUGUUUUUGCACUUUUGGAGUAGCAAAACUACUUUUUUGUGUGUGCUUGUGUUUUGUGCUUUUGUUUUGUUUUUGCUUUCUGUGUUUUAUGAUUCGAUUUUAGAUUUUCUUUCAUUUGUUUUUUUUCUUUUGUUCUGUUUUUGGAAAAUUUCUUAUCUUGUUUCGUCAAAUAUGUGUCCUUUUGUUGUUGCUUUUCUCUUUUUUUUUUCCAUUUUUUAAUGCCUAUUUCGUGUGUUGUUCAUUCUGUGAGGCGCUUUGGGGUGCUCUGUGCUCUUGGGUUUUCUUUUCUUUUUGGCUUGGUUUGUUUCUUUUUGUGAUUUUUGGUUUUUCAUUGUUUUUUUUUUCCUUUUCUGAUUUGUUGCUUUAAGUGUGACUGCUUUCAUUUGCUGUUUUUCCCUUCAGUUUUCCUUCAUUGUAAAUCCAUAGCCAUUGUAAAUCCAUAGCCAUUGUAAAUCCAUAGCCAUUGUAAAUCCAUAGCCAUUGUAAAUCCAUAGCCAUUGUAAAUCCAUAGCCAUUGUAAAUCCAUAGCCAUUGUAAAUCCAUAGCCAUUGUAAAUCCAUAGCCAUUGUAAAUCCAUAGCCAUUGUAAAUCCGUAGCCAUUGUAAAUCCAUAGCCAUUGUAAAUCCAUAGCCAUUGUAAAUCCAUAGCCAUUGUAAAUCCAUAGCCAUUGUAAAUCCAUAGCCAUUGUAAAUCCAUAGCCAUUGUAAAUCCAUAGCCAUUGUAAAUCCAUAGCCAUUGUAAAUCCAUAGCCAUUGUAAAUCCAUAGCCAUUGUAAAUCCAUAGCCAUUGUAAAUCCAUAGCCAUUGUAAAUCCAUAGCCAUUGUAAAUCCAUAGCCAUUGUAAAUCCAUAGCCAUUGUAAAUCCAUAG